GACGGAGGGUGCUAACGUUGUUCGGAAUUACUGGGCAUAAAGCGCACGUAGGCGGCCGAGCCAGUCUGAUGUGAAAGCCCCCGGCUCAACCGGGGAAUAGCAUCGGAUACAGCUCGGCUCGAGGACGGUUGGGGUGAGUGGAACUCCAGGUGGAGCGGUGAAAUGCGUAGAUAUCUGGAGGAACACCGGUGGCGAAAGCGGCUCACUGGACCGUCUCUGACGCUGAGGUGCGAAAGCUAGGGUAGCGAACGGG
rnacentral:rRNA from 1 species